GACGAGGAAGACGCCGAGGCCUGGGCCAUGGAACUGGCGGACGUGGGGGCGGCAGCCAGCUCGCAGGGUGCGCCGCAGCCAGAGGAGCCAGCGGCCUCCUUGGGUGUAAAUGAGAAGGGUGGGGCAGGCGGACGCUCGGGGCGGCGGCCACUGGGGCGCGACCGUCCCCGCCCCACUCGGCUCCUCUAAGAGAGGGCUGCCUCCCUCUGCCUUGUGUUACGCGGCGGGUACCUCUAGAGGAAUGGCUUCACCCAGUAGGAGUAGGGUGGGGCGCGUCCACACUACAAAUACGUGUCGAGGGUUUAUCUGCACCGUCCUUUCCUCUGUGAGGGGCGAGGUGGGGCGGGAAUCCCUCAGCCAGCCCGACGAAAACUGCAGAGGCUUCCGGGCCUUUUAACUUUGGAGAAGUUGAGGACCUUGUCGCUCAUUUGGCAGAAGGUGGGACCCGGUUCUCAGUCCUGGCAGGAAGGGAUGGCUCAGAACCUAGGCGGAGUCAGGUCCGCUGUGGUCACGUCUCCGGUGACCCACUUCCAGCUCUGGUCUUUACCUUGUACCGCCCACCUCAGGGCCUGGAUGUAAAGGCACCGGUUCUCAUUUCCUGCUGGUUUUGUUUCAUUCAUUAAUUUAGAGACAAGGUCUCCCUGCAGCCUCGAACCCCUGGGCUCAAGUGAUCCUCCGCCCCAGCCUCUCCCUCCCGAGUAGCUGGGACAGCAGGCACGUGCCACCACACCUGGCUGAUUUUCAGAUUUUUUUAGAUCAGGUGUAGCUGUGUUGUCCAGGCUGGUCUCAAACUCCAGCCACAAGCGAUCCUUCCACCUCAGCUUCGAAAAGUGUUGGGAUUACAGUAGUUAGCCAUCGUGCCUGGCCUUUUAAAUUUUGGAACAACUUUAGGUUUACCUGAAAGUUGCAGAGCUAGAUCCCCCUAGUGUUAACAUAAACUCAGUACAUUUGUCAAAACUAGGAAAUUAACAUUGGUAUAAUACUAUUAAUUGAACUACACGCUUUAUUAAUAUUUUACCAGUUUUUCUGCUAACGUUCAUUUUCUGUUCCAGGAUCCCAACCAGAAUAUUGUAUUGUAUUUUGCCUGUCUUGUUUUUAGCCAGUGUUGAGAGAAGGAAUCGCCUCUGUCAUUCCCUCCCCCACAAAUAAUGACCUAACAACUUUUUAAAAUCAAAGAACUAUUCAGUCUUUCAAUUUAGUGAAUAUUUAUUGGUGGUCUGUUAUGUCCUAGACACUGUUUUAGGCACUGGCGAUUUAGCAUUAAACCAGAUAAUCCUGCUGCCAUGGGAGCUAAAAAUAGCCCACACUUGUACCCACUGGUUGGCUUCUGCCAUUUUGUAUUUCAGUUUUUGUUUGUUUGUUUGUUUGUUUUAAAUGUAAGGGCAUGCUGCUUAGAAUAAUUUUCAAGUUGUGUGAAAAUCAACGUCAUUUCAACUUUUCUGCCCCUUCUGGUUUACACUAAGAGCUACUAUAAACUUCCAGGUGAUAGUAUUAGCUCUUUUAUCAUCCAUUAUUUAUCACAUUUUUUCCCUUCAAACUUAUUACUAUCCUGAGAAAAACGCAGUGCACAAAGAAACAGUAAUUAAGAGGACUGAAGACCCUACUCUAAGUGGAGUUUCAUGUCUUUGUAAUUUUUCGAUGCUUUCACACAAUCCAGCAGAAAACUAACGUCACUCUGCAUUCUUCCUUCACAGGUACCAUGUUUUAAGGAACUGUCAGUUGCUGAGAGAUAAUAAGCAGCCUGAAUUUCUUUUUAUUUCUUUGCAUAUUGUGCAGGAGUUCAUGAUCAAGUGUUGCCCACACCAAAUUCUUCAUCCAGAGUCAUAGUACAUGUGGAUCUGGAUUGCUUUUAUGCACAAGUAGAGAUGAUCUCAAAUCCAGAGCUAAAAGACAAACCUUUAGGGGUUCAACAGAAAUAUUUGGUGGUUACCUGCAACUAUGAAGCUAGGAAACUUGGAGUUAAGAAACUUAUGAAUGUCAGAGAUGCAAAAGAAAAGUGUCCACAGUUGGUAUUAGUUAAUGGAGAAGACCUGACCCGCUACAGAGAAAUGUCUUAUAAGGUUACAGAAUUACUGGAAGAAUUUAGUCCAGUUGUUGAGAGACUUGGAUUUGAUGAAAAUUUUGUGGAUCUAACAGAAAUGGUUGGGAAGAGACUACAGCAGCUGCAAAGUGAUGAACUUUCUGUGGUGACUGUGUCGGGUCAUGUAUACAAUAAUCAGUCUAUAAACCUGCUUGACGUCUUGCACAUCAGACUACUUGUUGGAUCUCAGAUUGCAGCAGAGAUGCGGGAAGCCAUGUAUAAUCAGUUGGGGCUCACUGGCUGUGCUGGAGUGGCUUCUAAUAAACUGUUGGCAAAAUUAGUUUCUGGUGUCUUUAAACCGAAUCAACAAACAGUCUUAUUACCUGAAAGUUGUCAACAUCUUAUUCAUAGUUUGAAUCACAUAAAGGAAAUACCUGGUAUUGGCUAUAAAACUGCCAAAUGUCUUGAAGCACUGGGUAUCAAUAGUGUGCGUGAUCUCCAAACCUUUUCACCCAAAAUUUUAG
rnacentral:sRNA from 1 species